GGUUAAGCGACUAAGCGUACACGGUGGAUGCCCUGGCAGUCAGAGGCGAUGAAGGACGUGCUAAUCUGCGAAAAGCGCCGGCGAGGUGAUAUGAACCCUUGACCCGGCGAUGUCCGAAUGGGGAAACCCAGUGUGAUUCGUCACACUAUCGUUAACUGAAUACAUAGGUUAACGAGGCGAACCGGGGGAACUGAAACAUCUAAGUACCCCGAGGAAAAGAAAUCAACCGAGAUUCCCCCAGUAGCGGCGAGCGAACGGGGAGCAGCCCAGAGUCUGAAUCAGCUUGUGUGUUAGUGGAAGCGUCUGGAAAGUCGCACGGUACAGGGUGAAAGUCCCGUACACGAAAAUGCACAGGCUGUGAACUCGAAGAGUAGGGCGGGACACGUGGUAUCCUGUCUGAAUAUGGGGGGACCAUCCUCCAAGGCUAAAUACUCCUGACUGACCGAUAGUGAACCAGUACCGUGAGGGAAAGGCGAAAAGAACCCCGGCGAGGGGAGUGAAAAAGAACCUGAAACCGUGUACGUACAAGCAGUGGGAGCACCUUCGUGGUGUGACUGCGUACCUUUUGUAUAAUGGGUCAGCGACUUAUAUUCUGUAGCAAGGUUAACCGUAUAGGGGAGCCGAAGGGAAACCGAGUCUUAACUGGGCGUUAAGUUGCAGGGUAUAGACCCGAAACCCGGUGAUCUAGCCAUGGGCAGGUUGAAGGUUGGGUAACACUAACUGGAGGACCGAACCGACUAAUGUUGAAAAAUUAGCGGAUGACCUGUGGCUGGGGGUGAAAGGCCAAUCAAACCGGGAGAUAGCUGGUUCUCCCCGAAAGCUAUUUAGGUAGCGCCUCGUGAACUCAUCUUCGGGGGUAGAGCACUGUUUCGGCUAGGGGGCCAUCCCGGCUUACCAACCCGAUGCAAACUACGAAUACCGAAGAAUGUUAUCACGGGAGACACACGGCGGGUGCUAACGUCCGUCGUGAAGAGGGAAACAACCCAGACCGCCAGCUAAGGUCCCAAAGUCAUGGUUAAGUGGGAAACGAUGUGGGAAGGCCCAGACAGCCAGGAUGUUGGCUUAGAAGCAGCCAUCAUUUAAAGAAAGCGUAAUAGCUCACUGGUCGAGUCGGCCUGCGCGGAAGAUGUAACGGGGCUAAACCAUGCACCGAAGCUGCGGCAGCGACGCUUAUGCGUUGUUGGGUAGGGGAGCGUUCUGUAAGCCGUUGAAGGUGGCCUGUGAGGGUUGCUGGAGGUAUCAGAAGUGCGAAUGCUGACAUAAGUAACGAUAAAGCGGGUGAAAAGCCCGCUCGCCGGAAGACCAAGGGUUCCUGUCCAACGUUAAUCGGGGCAGGGUGAGUCGACCCCUAAGGCGAGGCCGAAAGGCGUAGUCGAUGGGAAACAGGUUAAUAUUCCUGUACUUGGUGUUACUGCGAAGGGGGGACGGAGAAGGCUAUGUUAGCCGGGCGACGGUUGUCCCGGUUUAAGCAUGUAGGCGGAGGUUCCAGGUAAAUCCGGUACCUUUUAACGCUGAGGUGUGAUGACGAGGCACUACGGUGCUGAAGUAACAAAUGCCCUGCUUCCAGGAAAAGCCUCUAAGCAUCAGGUAACACGAAAUCGUACCCCAAACCGACACAGGUGGUCAGGUAGAGAAUACCAAGGCGCUUGAGAGAACUCGGGUGAAGGAACUAGGCAAAAUGGUGCCGUAACUUCGGGAGAAGGCACGCUGAUAUGUAGGUGAAGCCCCUGCGGGUGGAGCUGAAAUCAGUCGAAGAUACCAGCUGGCUGCAACUGUUUAUUAAAAACACAGCACUGUGCAAACACGAAAGUGGACGUAUACGGUGUGACGCCUGCCCGGUGCCGGAAGGUUAAUUGAUGGGGUUAGCGGUAACGCGAAGCUCUUGAUCGAAGCCCCGGUAAACGGCGGCCGUAACUAUAACGGUCCUAAGGUAGCGAAAUUCCUUGUCGGGUAAGUUCCGACCUGCACGAAUGGCGUAAUGAUGGCCAGGCUGUCUCCACCCGAGACUCAGUGAAAUUGAACUCGCUGUGAAGAUGCAGUGUACCCGCGGCAAGACGGAAAGACCCCGUGAACCUUUACUAUAGCUUGACACUGAACACUGGUCCUUGAUGUGUAGGAUAGGUGGGAGGCUUUGAAGCGUGGACGCCAGUCUGCGUGGAGCCAUCCUUGAAAUACCACCCUUUAAUGGCUGGUGUUCUAACGUAGACCCGUAAUCCGGGUUGCGGACAGUGUCUGGUGGGUAGUUUGACUGGGGCGGUCUCCUCCCAAAGAGUAACGGAGGAGCACGAAGGUUAGCUAAUCCUGGUCGGACAUCAGGAGGUUAGUGCAAUGGCAUAAGCUAGCUUGACUGCGAGAGUGACGGCUCGAGCAGGUGCGAAAGCAGGUCAUAGUGAUCCGGUGGUUCUGAAUGGAAGGGCCAUCGCUCAACGGAUAAAAGGUACUCCGGGGAUAACAGGCUGAUACCGCCCAAGAGUUCAUAUCGACGGCGGUGUUUGGCACCUCGAUGUCGGCUCAUCACAUCCUGGGGCUGAAGUAGGUCCCAAGGGUAUGGCUGUUCGCCAUUUAAAGUGGUACGCGAGCUGGGUUUAGAACGUCGUGAGACAGUUCGGUCCCUAUCUGCCGUGGGCGCUGGAGAAUUGAGGGGGGCUGCUCCUAGUACGAGAGGACCGGAGUGGACGCAUCACUGGUGUUCGGGUUGUCAUGCCAAUGGCACUGCCCGGUAGCUAAAUGCGGAAGAGAUAAGUGCUGAAAGCAUCUAAGCACGAAACUUGCCCCGAGAUGAGUUCUCCCUGAGACUUAAAGUCUCCUGAAGGAACGUUAAAGACGAUGACGUUGAUAGGUCGGGUGUGUAAGCGCAGCGAUGUGUUGAGCUAACCGAUACUAAUGAACCGUGAGGCUUAACCUU
rnacentral:rRNA from 1 species